GAUGAACGCUGGCGGCGUGCCUAAUACAUGCAAGUCGAGCGAACAGAUAAGGAGCUUGCUCCUUUGACGUUAGCGGCGGACGGGUGAGUAACACGUGGGUAACCUACCUAUAAGACAGGAAUAACUACGGGAAACCGGGGCUAAUGCCGGAUAACAUUUAGAACCGCAUGGUUCUAAAGUGAAAGAUGGUUUUGCUGUCACUGAUAGAUGGACCCGCGCCGUAUUAGCUAGUUGGUAAGGUAACGGCUUACCAAGGCAACGAUGCGUAGCCGACCUGAGAGGGGGUUCGGCCACACUGGAACUGAGACGCGGUCCAGACUCCUACGGGAGGCACCAGUAGGGAAUCGUCCGCAAUGGGCGAAAGCCUGACGGAGCAGCGCCGCGUGAGUGAUGAAGGUCUUCGGAUCGUAAAACUCUGUUAUUAGGGAAGAACGAAUGUGUAAGUAACUGUGCACGUCUUGACGGUACCUAAUCAGAAAGCCACGGCUAACUACGUG
rnacentral:rRNA from 1 species